AGCCUCAUGAAAUCUAUAUGAGGUGCUUCCUGCCCGGUGAUAUUUUAACGGCCGCAGUACCCUGACUGUGCAAAGGUAGCAUAAUCACUUGCCUUUUAAUUGAAGGCUUGUAUGAAUGGACUUACGAAAAUAAAGCUGUCUCUGCUGUACAAGUAAAAACUAGACUUCAGGUGAAAAUACCUGAAUAAAAAUAAAGGACAAAAAGACCCUAUAGAGCUGCAUUCAUAAAAACUUAUAAAAUACAAUAUACUUAAAACACUUAUAAUGAAUUUUGUUGGGGCGACAAAGGAAUAUAAAAAUCUUCCUUAAAUAUAAAGAAAACAAUUCACUCUAAAGAUCCUUUAAAGAUCAAAGAAAAAAGCUACCUUAGGGAUAACAGACUAAUCUCCUUAAAGAGUCCAAAUUGACAAGGAGGAUUGGCACCUCGAUGUUGGCUUAAGGUAUCCCUUAGGUGCAGAAGCCUAAAAAGGUUGGUUUGUUCAACCAUUAAAACCUU
rnacentral:rRNA from 1 species